rnacentral:rRNA from 1 species
GUUUUGUGGGGUGCUCGAGUGGCGAACGGGUGAGUAACACGUGAGUAACCUGCCCUUGACUUUGGGAUAACUUCAGGAAACUGGGGCUAAUACCGGAUAGGAGCUCCUACUGCAUGGUGGGGGUUGGAAAGUUUCGGCGGUUGGGGAUGGACUCGCGGCUUAUCAGCUUGUUGGUGGGGUAGUGGCUUACCAAGGCUUUGACGGGUAGCCGGCCUGAGAGGGUGACCGGCCACAUUGGGACUGAGAUACGGCCCAG